ensembl:lncRNA novel transcript, antisense to PCDHB16, PCDHB9, PCDHB10 and PCDHB11
AAAGCCGGGGAGCCGCGGUCUGUGGCGCCCACGCGGAAGUCGAAAGCCUGCAGGGCCUCGUAGUCCAGCGACCUGAGGGCGAACAGGUGGCCGUUGUCUGUGUUGAUGGAGACCAGGGAGGCGAGGGGCAGCCUUGGAGUCCCCAUAUCUGUGACGGUGAGGGUGAUAUUAUAUUCAGCUCUUGCUUCUCUGUCGAGUGCUCUCUCCGUUACCAAGGUGUAAAAGUUCUUGACUGAAGGUUUUAGAAGAAAGGGAAGGUCUUCCUGGAUGGAGGAAAUCGUCUUCCCAUUGUUUCCGGAGUCAGGAUCUGAAACGCUGAAAACAGCAACUACUAUCUCAGGCGAGUUCUCUGGGAUGGGGCUGGUGAGUGCAGACAUGGUCACCUGUGGGGGAUUGUCAUUCACGUCCACCACCUGCAGGAGAAGAGUGCACUUUCCUGAAAGACCUCCCCCAUCUGUGGCUUUGAUGCGCACUUCAUAAGACGUAACCAUUUCGAAAUCUACUUGCUUUCUCAGUCGAACUUCCCCUGUCAUAGGAUUUACCUCCAAAGUUUUACUAAUAUCCUCCGAAGGCUGAAAGA